AGUGAACGCUGGCGGUAGGCCUAACACAUGCAAGUCGAACGGCAGCACAGUAAGAGCUUGCUCUUACGGGUGGCGAGUGGCGGACGGGUGAGGAAUACAUCGGAAUCUACUUUUUCGUGGGGGAUAACGUAGGGACACUUACGCUAAUACCGCAUACGACCUACGGGUGAAAGCAGGGGAUCUUCGGACCUUGCGCGAUUGAAUUAGCCGAUGUCGGAUUAGCUAGUUGGCGGGGUAAAGGCCCACCAAGGCGACGAUCCGUAGCUGGUCUGAGAGGAUGAUCAGCCACACUGGAACUGAGACACGGUCCAGACUCCUACGGGAGGCAGCAGUGGGGAAUAUUGGACAAUGGGCGCAAGCCUGAUCCAGCCAUACCGCGUGGGUGAAGAAGGCCUUCGGGUUGUAAAGCCCUUUUGUUGGGAAAGAAAAGCAGCAGGUUAAUACCCCGCUGUUCUGACGGUACCCAAAGAAUAAGCACCGGCUAACUUCGUG
rnacentral:rRNA from 1 species